AAGUGUUGGGAGGAAAGGGUUAGCCUCAGGAGGAGGGUUGUGGUAUGGGGUUCAGAAGGGAGAAAGCUUAAGGGGAAGGGUGUGAAGCAUGGUCAGGGCCUGAAACUCUCUCCAUCUUCAGCUCCAGGGGCCUGGCCAUACCAAAAAAACAUAGGCAAGAAUGACAUCUAAGCAGCAGAGAAGGUAGAUUGCACCACCCACACCCUGAAAGAGCCCUUUGCUUGGCUUUAUCUGCAGGGGGAGAGGCAUCUCCUCUCCUCCCAUUUCCAUCUGGCCGCACCCAGGGUCCAUGGGGACUUCUUUGUGUUCCCCCAUCUCCUUGGUAGAAGGGACAACAGUCUCUCCAUUCUAGCCAAGAAGGAAACAAGAAUAAGACCUUCAGUUCUGCUCCCCGAGAUGAGCAAAGUCUUUCCAGCUCUUCCUCAGUAUGCCACUCCAACUCUAUCAGAAGUCGCCAAGGAAAACUAGAAUGCACUUGGGGACACAAAGACGACAGAGGUUUUAUAAUUGCAUGCACUUCCUCCAAGGGGACCUAGGACAUCCAUUGAACAGACAAAGCCACAGGUGUGUCUGUUGUCUCAACAGGAAAGAGAUUUGCUAAUCACUGAGACCCUGUGGGAGCAGGUGCUAAUGGCCUUUAAAGGAAUACAAAAGGAGGACACAUCUGACAUCCUCAACAUCUGACCAAUCUGCGGCCAGCACACCGAACAUCCCAGGGUACCAACCUUGCAAGUCUCUGACCGCCGAAUCCUCAUUCUCUUUCAGCUUCAGGAAGAUGCUCGGAUUCGAGGCAUGAGUACCCGUUCUAUGGCACUCGUCCCACCUGUCCCCCCCAAGACUGGGACGCCAAAGCUGAUGAUAAAGACACAGGAAAAGACAGUGAGUCAGAAAGAAAAGCUAUGAAGAACAAUAGGGAGUCAAGGGCUUCCUUAGCAGGUUAUAAAGAAAAUAAUGGACGCUUCAGAGUCCUGUGGCCCAACACUGGAUACAUUUCCACAGAACAGACUGCGGGGGGAGAUCCAUCCACCAUGCUAGGGACUUCAUCCAAACAUCAAGAAUGACUUCCAACCAUGACGGCUGGAAGGGUUUUAGGGAGUAAGAAAGAAAGACUAUAUAGCAUCAUACUUCACAUGAAUUUAGAGACUUUAAGAAUAUAUAUCUAUCUGGCAUGUUUCAGGCAUGUCCCUGCCUAAACCAAGAAGUGGAAAAGGUGAGCCCCACCCCCACCCCCAGGAACCAUGUCUGAACAUAAUUUGUUCCUCUCAGAGCUCUGGCCUCAUGAAAUAAAGCCAUUCCAACUACCAUUUAUUCACUGGGGCUCUGUGCAAGUGCUGAGCCAGGCAAGCGCUCUACCACUGAGCUUCUAUGCUCAGCUCUCUCUUGGGAUUGUUCAUUUUGAGACAUGGUCUUACAAAGUUGCCCAGGCUGACCUCAAACUCAUUCAGUUGCCGGGGCAGGCCUUGAACUUGGAAUCCUCCUGCCUCAGCCUUCCACGUGGCUGGAAUGACAGGUCCUCACAACCAUGACCAGCAAGAGCAUAUCUUUUAAACAGAUUGGUAACUAUGCUUUAACUCGAUUGGUCCUAAACAUGUAAGGAACACUGAUAUGCAAUGUUAUUACAGAAACUCUUAAGUUUAAUUAUCAUACAUCUUUGCUAUAUGGAUCAAUUUUGAUUGGCCAAAUUCCUCUAAGUCUAUCAUCUAAUCUCACUAGUCCUCUGAAGCAAGCCAGAGACAUUUUCCUGAUGAACAUUUGCUUCUGAUGAGUCCUAACACCCAACAAGAGUUUUUUUUCAUCAUGGGAUUGGAAUCUCAGAGUCAGUGAUGUCUGUUUCUGCUGGUGCCAAGGUCCAAAGACAGUAGAGAAUGUGACUGAGGCACAAAGAGUUGUGUCUCUCUCCUUUACGGUCUACCAGCCCUCUUAUUUGAUGCAGAAGCUUCAAGCCUCCAGAUCUCUCUACACACAUCCCCAAAUAAGAAUCACAGCUCAAAUUCUGGAGAGAAGUCAUCGGAAGCCCAUUCCUACCCCGCAAGGAUGCAACCCCGUGACCAGCCAGCCUUCUACCCUAGACUUUAAACUUUGUCAUCAAGGAAUGUCUCCUGUGUUUCUUCCAGGUAUCUACUCAAAUACCCUUCCACCUUCGCUGUCUACCCUUCCUGACUAUCCUGCUAUGUAUAGCCAGAACCCAGACUUCCCGGGUACUCUUGGUGCAACAUGGCAGAGGACUGUCUUGGCAAGCAGGUGCAGUCCAGAGCUAAGGGAUGAGAUUGAAAAGCAGACGGGUGAGGGCAGGGCCAGCCCAUGUUCUUGUGAUCUCUGUGGUCAUGACGAAGAGCAUAGAUGGUUCUGUAUGGGAAAGAGUAUUCAAGAAUCAGAGAAAAAUUGGACGUAAAGAUAUGGCAUGGGCCCAGCUCAGUCGCCUGAUACUCAAAGGCAGUGAGACAGACACCAUCAUUGACAGAAUCUACCAGCAUCGACUGUGAACUUGGACAUCACUUGAGAGCCAGGCACAUCCUAACUGCCAAGCAAAGAAUCCAGCAGAUAAACAAUGGAGGAAAUAAAUGUGAUGUAAAACAAAGGCCUUGAACAAAUAAACACAGGAUAUUAAAUAACUCUGAGGCAUAGCAUGUAAUCCUAUGGAGUAAGAAUAUGUCACACAGCCAAUGCAACUAUAACUCACUAGAGCAAUAUAGAGAAAGUCAAAGGACAACCUAAGAAGGAGGAGGAGGAGGAAGAGAAGGAAGAAGAAGGAAGAAGAAAAGAAGGAAGGAAGCAGCAGUGGGUAGAGGGGAGAAAGAGACUGUCAUGGGGUGACGUGAUAAAAGUACCUGAUAUGCAUAUACAAACGCCGUAAUAAAACUCAUUGUCAAGUGA
rnacentral:lncRNA from 1 species